GACGAACGCUGGCGGCGUGCCUAAUACAUGCAAGUAGAACGCUGAAGAGAGGAGCUUGCUCUUCUUGGAUGAGUUGCGAACGGGUGAGUAACGCGUAGGUAACCUGCCUUGUAGCGGGGGAUAACUAUUGGAAACGAUAGCUAAUACCGCAUAACAAUGGAUGACACAUGUCAUUUAUUUGAAAGGGGCAAUUGCUCCACUACAAGAUGGACCUGCGUUGUAUUAGCUAGUAGGUGAGGUAAUGGCUCACCUAGGCGACGAUACAUAGCCGACCUGAGAGGGUGAUCGGCCACACUGGGACUGAGACACGGCCCAGACUCCUACGGGAGGCAGCAGUAGGGAAUCUUCGGCAAUGGGGGCAACCCUGACCGAGCCACGCCGCGUGAGUGAAGAAGGUUUUCGGAUCGUAAAGCUCUGUUGUAAGUCAAGAACGGGUGUGAGAGUGGAAAGUUCACACUGUGACGGUAGCUUACCAGAAAGGGACGGCUAACUACGUG
rnacentral:rRNA from 1 species